UUAAUUGAAGCCAAAAAGAGGCUUAUCACUGUUAAUGAUAGAACUGAGAUACAAACUCCAAUUAAA
rnacentral:tRNA from 1 species